AUUGAACGCUGGCGGCAGGCCUAACACAUGCAAGUCGAGCGAGCGGCGGACGGGUGAGUAAUGUCUGGGAAACUGCCUGAUGGAGGGGGAUAACAGCUGGAAACGGUAGAUAAUACCGCAUACCAUCAGAUGGGCACAGAUGGGAUUAGCUAGUAGGUGGGGUAACGGCUCACCUAGGCGACGAUCCCUAGCUGGUCUGAGAGGAGGACCAGCCACACUGGAACUGAGACACGGUCCAGACUCCUACGGGAGGCAGCAGUGGGGAAUAUUGCACAAUGGGCGCAAGCCUGAUGCAGCCAUGCCGCGUGUGUGAAGAAGGCCUUCGGGUUGUAAAGCACUUUCAGCGGGGAGGCGUUACCCGCAGAAGAAGCACCGGCUAACUCCGUGCCAGCAGCCGCGGUAAUAC
rnacentral:rRNA from 1 species